UACGUAGGGGGCAAGCGUUGUCCGGAAUCAUUGGGCGUAAAGCGCGUGUAGGCGGUUCGGUAAGUCGGCUGUGAAAGUCCAGGGCUCAACCCUGGGAUGUCGGUCGAUACUGCCGGACUAGAGUUCGGAAGAGGCGAGUGGAAUUCCCGGUGUAGCGGUGAAAUGCGCAGAUAUCGGGAGGAACACCAAUGGCGAAGGCAGCUCGCUGGGACGUUACUGACGCUGAGACGCGAAAGCGUGGGGAGCAAACAGG
rnacentral:rRNA from 1 species